CAGUCGCCGCGGGAAUACAGAGGAUGCAAGCGUUAUCCGGAAUGAUUGGGCGUAAAGCGUCUGUAGGUGGCUUUUCAAGUCCGCCGUCAAAUCCCAGGGCUCAACCCUGGACAGGCGGUGGAAACUACCAAGCUGGAGUACGGUAGGGGCAGAGGGAAUUUCCGGUGGAGCGGUGAAAUGCAUUGAGAUCGGGAAGAACACCAACGGCGAAAGCACUCUGCUGGGCCGACACUGACACUGAGAGAUGAAAGCUAGGGGAGCAAAUGGGAUUAGAUACCCGUGUAGUCCCUGUCUCUUAUAA
rnacentral:rRNA from 1 species